CGGUGAUGAGGAGCUUGCUUCUUUGAUCAGUGGCGAACGGGUGAGUAACACGUGAGCAAUCUGCCCUUGACUCUGGGAUAAGCGUUGGAAACGACGUCUAAUACCGGAUACGACCUUUGGAGGCAUCUCUGGGGGUGGAAAGAAUUUUGGUCAAGGAUGAGCUCGCGGCCUAUCAGCUAGUUGGUGAGGUAAUGGCUCACCAAGGCGACGACGGGUAGCCGGCCUGAGAGGGUGACCGGCCACACUGGGACUGAGACACGGCCCAGACUCCUACGGGAGGCAGCAGUGGGGAAUAUUGCACAAUGGGCGAAAGCCUGAUGCAGCAACGCCGCGUGAGGGACGACGGCCUUCGGGUUGUAAACCUCUUUUAGUAGGGAAGAAGCGAAAGUGACGGUACCUGCAGAAAAAGCACCGGCUAACUACGUGCCAGCAGCCGCGGUAAUACGUAGGGUGCAAGCGUUGUCCGGAAUUAUUGGGCGUAAAGAGCUCGUAGGCGGUUUGUCGCGUCUGCUGUGAAAACCCGAGGCUCAACCUCGGGCCUGCAGUGGGUACGGGCAGACUAGAGUGCGGUAGGGGAGAUUGGAAUUCCUGGUGUAGCGGUGGAAUGCGCAGAUAUCAGGAGGAACACCAAUGGCGAAGGCAGAUCUCUGGGCCGUAACUGACGCUGAGGAGCGAAAGCAUGGGGAGCGAACAGGAUUAGAUACCCUGGUAGUCCAUGCCGUAAACGUUGGGAACUAGAUGUGGGGACCAUUCCACGGUCUCCGUGUCGCAGCUAACGCAUUAAGUUCCCCGCCUGGGGAGUACGGCCGCAAGGCUAAAACUCAAAGGAAUUGACGGGGGCCCGCACAAGCGGCGGAGCAUGCGGAUUAAUUCGAUGCAACGCGAAGAACCUUACCAAGGCUUGACAUAUAGAGGAAACGUCUGGAAACAGUCGCCCCGCAAGGUCUCUAUACAGGUGGUGCAUGGUUGUCGUCAGCUCGUGUCGUGAGAUGUUGGGUUAAGUCCCGCAACGAGCGCAACCCUCGUCCUAUGUUGCCAGCACGUAAUGGUGGGAACUCAUGGGAUACUGCCGGGGUCAACUCGGAAGAAGGUGGGGAUGACGUCAAAUCAUCAUGCCCCUUAUGUCUUGGGCUUCACGCAUGCUACAAUGGCCGGUACAAAGGG
rnacentral:rRNA from 1 species